rnacentral:lncRNA from 1 species
CUCCUUACAUAAUUACUAAUAGAAAGUACUUCAUUUCUUCACUUGACUGCUUUUUCUGUGACUUUCCUCACUUCACUACUGAAGCACUGGAAGAAGCUUCAACUCCUCCGUUUCAGUAAUUUCUAAGCGGAGAACUGGAAGAUAAGACGUGAAUAGAAAAAACCAACAAGCAAUUAGUGAUUUUAUUAACCGAACGAAAACAGCUAUACUCUCAAGCGGUAGGCCUAUUGGGUGAGGUGGAAUGCCUGAUUGACUGACCUUGCUACCAACUACCCUUGCUUUCCAACAAUCCUAGCUUUAUUUUCUCCUGACUUUCUGAACUUCAACUAUUUAC